rnacentral:misc_RNA from 1 species
UUUCCGUAGGUGAACCUGCGGAAGGAUCAUUAUUAUAUAACCGAUGUGCGCGGGCUCUCGCUGACCCGAACGGUCGGCCACAGCCGAAUCCCCUCACACACCUCCAUCUCACCCUUAUGUUUACAACCGCGCGGUUCCUCCUCUGGCUUUUUGGGAGGGGGGCUUAGGUUUUCACCAAAACUUUUUAUGCAGUUUAGAUUAUAUGUUUUGUUUUUGCCAUCCCUCAAUACAUUCAACUUUCAACAACUUAUCUCUUGCCUCUCUCAUCGAUGAAGAACA